UUCGAUACGGCGGAAGAAGCGGCUGUUGCUUAUGAUCAAGCGGCGUUGAAGCUGCGCGGACCUAACGCCCCUACUAACUUUAAGUUGCUUGAUUGCAAUGCUGUUCAGUCCUAAAAUUUUCUUUUCUGAAGUAGAACUACCAUAUUUGUUAUCUAAAUUUGAAGAAGCGUUCAAAGUUUAAGGUGGUUGAAUGGAAAAGAAAGAUAACCAAUCUGUUAAAGGUGAUUGUGAAAGGAGGAGCUAGAUCAAAAUGAUAGACAAAGGACAGAGCAUCCUCAGCUUAGUGAUUGUAUCGAUUCUGCUGUUUCUUGGUGUAUUCCUUGCAUCCAAAAGGUGGGAAGAUCAUGGCUUACUUCCACUGCCUCCUAAUUAGUAUUAUCAAGUAUACAGAGUUGUGGAUCCCAAGUGAGUCAAACAGUGG